GUUGUACUUGACAUAUCUAGGAAGAGCUAUCUAUCAUAGGUAUUCGAUGCUGAUAUCCAUUUUGUUUCAAAAGAUUUGGGAGAGACAAUAAAAGAAGGAAACAAAGAAUACUGACAUGAUCGUGUAAAAGCACUCAUCUUUCAUCUUCAUCAUUUUUACGAUCGAUUGAAAAAUGUAUAUCUCACUGAGAAAGAUCCACAAGUUCUUUGAAAAAAUUAACUGAAAGAUUUGAUCAUCGAAAGACUAUAGUCCUCCCCAAAGCCAGUUACGAGUGGAUGCACCUUUAUUUGCAAAAUUUUAAAACUGUUAAUGAGUACAAUUUUGAACUAUUGAAAAUACGUUCAAAAUUGACAUUGUGUAAAAUUAUUAAUGAAGAGUGUUGGAAAAAAUAUUUUCCACCUUUCACGACUCGAAUAUGCACUUGCAGAGCAAUAUAAUUAGCAUGGUUCCAAAAGGUACUUAAAACUCAUAUUUUGUCUACUUGUGACUGAACAAAAUAAUGGACUGCUGAUAAAAAAUCAUGUAUUACUUCCAACUGGUUCUGUACCAAUGCCUAAGGCAAAUUGUAUAGAUUGCUUGAAAAAAAAUGCAAUAUCAAGACAACGAUAUGGACGUGGAUGUGGACAUUGAUUAGGACGUGGACACAAACAUGCAGAUGGAAUAAACCAUAGACGUAAUAAUCAAGAAACCUAUCAGUAGCAAGGUAACAAUUUUAAAAUACGCAAAGAAAAUGAAAGUACCAUAUCCAAUAAAGAGCACGAAGAAAGUUGCUUUAAAUGUGGAAUGAGAGGGCAUUGUGCACGUACCUGUCAUAUAGCAGACACAUGUUGUGUUGUAUCUGUACCAAAAAUCAAUCAAGAGAAAGGGAAAAGUAGAUACAAAUUUUGCUGAUUAUGAUUGUCCCAUUAAUGUGAUUUAUUUGAAUGUCUUCGAUUUCAUUGUUGG
rnacentral:lncRNA from 1 species